ACGCGAAGGUUCCUAUCGGUCGACGGGCUGUGGGUGUAUUGCUCAGUGACGGCUUCGUUUAGUUUCUCCCAGCACCCAUAAUUCAAAGCAAGAACAACGACAUUAUGGGGAGAAAACGUCCUUUUGUGAAACAGAAGGCAAUCCACACCAUUAGUAAACCCCAUCAAUUUUGCCUUCAGAAUAUAUCCAGAUUCUUCCCAAUUCUACCGCCACCAUUCUGGUUCAAGCUACCUGGUAAAACAUGCACAGAGCAAAUUUCGGUUGUAUCCUAGAAAUGAUAGCCAUAUUGAGGAUACUGGUUACACCUGACGAAACAUCUCCAUGAAAGUUAAGCAUACACAGGAUCUCACUUUGUUACCCAGGCUAGAGUGCAAUGGUGUGACCACAGCUCACUGAAGCCUCAACCUCCUGAGCUCACUUUUAAGCAAUCCUCUCACUUCGGCCUCCUGAGUAGCUGGGCCUACAGGCAUGUACCAACACUCCCAGCAAGUUUUUCUUAUUUUUGUGAAGACAGAGUCUUGCAGUAUUGCCCAAGCUGGACUUGAACUCCUGGCCUCAAGCAAUCCUCCCAUCUAGGCCUCCCAAAGUGCUAGGAUUACAGGCAUGAGCCACUGUGCCAAGCAACACUUGCAGUUUUUAAGUGAAAAUGAUCCUGUAAAUAUAUAUAUGAAUAAAAUCUAGAAAGCUAUA